rnacentral:rRNA from 1 species
AUUGAACGCUGGCGGAAUGCUUUACACAUGCAAGUCGAACGGUAGAGGGGGCAACCCCUUGAGAGUGGCGAACGGGUGAGUAAUAUAUCGGAACGUGCCCAGUCGUGGGGAUAACGUAGCGAAAGUUACGCUAAUACCGCAUACGAUCUACGGAUGAAAGCGGGGGACUCGCAAGAGCCUCGCGCGAUUGGAGCGGCCGGUAUCAGAUUAGGUAGUUGGUGAGGUAAAGGCUCACCAAGCCGACGAUCUGUAGCUGGUCUGAGAGGACGACCAGCCACACUGGGACUGAGACACGGCCCAGACUCCUACGGGAGGCAGCAGUGGGGAAUUUUGGACAAUGGGCGCAAGCCUGAUCCAGCAAUGCCGCGUGCAGGAUGAAGGCCUGGUU